rnacentral:rRNA from 1 species
CUUAUCCUACGGGGGGCAGCAGUGAGGAAUAUUGGUCAAUGGGCUUACGCCUGAACCAGCCAAGUCGCGUGAGGGAAGACUGCCCUAUGGGUUGUAAACCUCUUUUGUCAGGGAGCAACGCCGGCUACGUGUAGCCGGACUGAGAGUACCUGAAGAAAAAGCAUCGGCUAACUCCGUGCCAGCAGCCGCGGUAAUACGGAGGAUGCGAGCGUUAUCCGGAUUUAUUGGGUUUAAAGGGUGCGUAGGCGGAAUGCCAAGUCAGCGGUAAAAUCGCGGGGCUCAACCCCGCUCCGCCGUUGAAACUG